UGACUAGAAUCCUCCCAAGAAGAGGAAAUGAGGACACAGACUCAGAGGGAGACCAUGUAAGGACACAGGGAGGAGGCGGCCAUCUACAGACCAAGGAGGGCGGCCUUGAAGGAACCAGCCCUGCUGACACUGAUCUUAAACUUCUAGCCUCCAGAAUUCUAGGUGCUGAGAUGAAUGUCUACAGUCAAUGGAUGAACGUGCUCUGAUGGUGACAAGGAGAACUCCCAGGCACCUUGACAGCAGUGACUGUGAACCAUUUCUGCCCAGCUCACAGACAGACCUCCACAACGGCUCACUGCCACCAGAGCUUUUCUUUCAACUGAUGAAAAACUGAAAGAAAAAGCUAAGUCUCCUCCCCAUGUGAUAUAGAAGAGAUGUUGGCACAUUCGCAUUUUCAUAAGGAAAAACAAGUUGAACUCCGGCAACUCUGGAAGUCAGUCUCAUCAACUGCACCCUCCUUUCGCACACACGGCAGACUCCUGCGCGCACCCACAAUCCUUACGUGGGAACCUCGUCAUGUAAGGAACGUGUAAUAUCUGUCAGCGCUGCCCUUUAAUGAGCGAUUCCUAUGAGCCAGGCAGGGGGUCAGAGGGCAACACUUAGCUGUCACAUGCCCCCUGCCUCCCGUGAGGAAACUGAGGCUUGAGAAGUUUAAGCACA